CCAGACCAUCCUUAGGUCUGAAUUUCUGUGGAUUUGCAUCACAAUUCUACAGCAGCUGAAAGUACUGCGGUUGGAUAAUCUAUGACAAUCCACUUUGGACCAGGAAGGUGACAGGUAUUCAGUGUAAGUGCAUAUGCUAAAAUACUUGGAGAUUUUAGCUAAAAAGUGAAAAAUGGACAGUAAUGUAUAUUUUAAAUGAAACAGAGUCUCAGCAUGGGAACAUAAGAGAUGAGUACACUGAAUCAUAGCAAAACUUCAUUUGGUGGAAAAAUAUGGUAGUUUUUAACAUUUGCCAUAUUUUAACAUUUGCAACAAUAAUUUCUUCCUGGAAUAGAGUCUGCCUGGCAAGUUUCAGCACAGUAAGAAUUUUAAUAAUCCCUGGAAAAUAAGGGUUUGUGUUGGAGGUGUUCAUUGACUCUUAACCAUAGUUUUGUAGCAACCAUAAAAAUUAGGUCUCUUCCAUUUUUUAGGAAUCUAGCCAUCUCCUGCCACUGUAGGAUCAUUACAUACAAUAUAAAGCUCAGCGGUUUGUCCACCCUAGUUUUGGAUGUCCCAAGAAAAGAAAUGUCCAUCAUUUGCUUAGGAAACGAUACAAAACACACUAAUUCAUUUUGCUGCCUGGAAAAUUUUUUCUGACAGCUUGAAUUUUUUUUUCUUAAUUUCAUCCUAUUAUGUCUUGUUAUAACCUCUUGCGCUGGUGGAGUUUAAACAUCUGACAGUCAGAAUUGCAACAGAACAGCAAGUUGAAGAGCACUGUCUUUACAAUCAGAAGAGCUUUCUAAGAAAGGAGAUGGCUUUUCUAAAAUAGCAGUUAUGGUGCUUCCUGGCUGCCAUCCAAAUUUAAGAUGCACAAGUUGUUUUCACUUCAUAAAGCUGUAUUGCUCAUAAAUCAGAGCAGCAUUAUGCCACCAACUCUCAGCACAAGAGGCUGCAAUAUAACUUGAGAAAAAUUAUCCAUCUGUUUGAAUUAGCAAUCAGAUUUUUAUAUUUUCUUCUUUAAAGUUUUCCUACUGACAAAACUUUUUUUUCUUUUGCUGCUAUGGAAGAAUUACUGGCAAAUUAACAGAUUUUCAACAGUGCAAGAACUGAGUUUAGUAUUACUGGUAUGUACGGAGCUAAAAUAUCAUUCUCAGUAAAGACAUCUAUUAAUGCCUACCUUUUCUUUUCCAUGUUUAAGAAGAGGCUGUCUAAGGAAUUGUUUAACAACUUUUCUAAGGAGAACCUAGCUCUCGGGUUUGUUUGUCCAAUAAAAUAUGACUUCAGACUUCAUUUCUUGUUAGCAAACUAGAUUUCUGAAAAUACUGAACUGCAUUGUGAGUAGUUCUCAUGUUCCUGUUAUGUAUGUGCCUAUGUCUUCAUGGUUUAGCUAUUAGCCCCGUUUCAUGGAGAAAGAUUUCUCCACAUUUCUCCACACUGCCCCUAUAAAUAUGGCAUUGUCGCCUGGGCAAGAGACAUUUCCACCUGAGAGGGGAGGGAUAGAGCACCCACCUGCUUAUUCUCUGUGCUUUAUCACUAAGCAGGUGCACAGCCACAGGGUGUUUUCUGUGGCGGAACCUCCUCUUAGACGCAAAGAAGGGAAGAAACUCAAGUCAAAACAAACCAUGGAGAAGGCUCAAGAGAGGUCCAAGCUAGAAUGUUGUUGCUGAUUCUCCUCACUGACUGAAAAUAUCCCUGGAUACCAGGCAGAAGGCAGGCUCCUAGCUUUCCCGAUCCCACAAAGUGUUGAGUGUCCUCAAUUCCCGUUGACUUUAAAGAGAAUCAAAGACACUAGGAACCUUGCAAGAUUGCACCCCAAAAGAUUCAGAUUAAAGACAUUUCUUCUAGAAGUGACCAAAUACUACAAGUCCUGAACAAACCCCAAUUCUAUUUUUAUUUAUUUUUUUAUUCAACCUCAAGGCCCUGGCAUAUGCAUUCCACAUGGCUGAAGACCAAACAAAGGCUUGUGUGUGUGCACUGAUCCUCUUUUAACCAUAUUGUGAAAGCAAGCAUACAGUAAAAUCAUCUACUGUGGUAGAAGACCUUUGUUGAGCGUACACAUAUAAACCCUCAAAAAAGUGAUAUAACACUGAGAUUUUACUGUCAUAAUAUCCAGGCACUGUCACCAAACUCUAGAUAUAAUGGUCCAUAAUUACUGUGUUUAAAACAUUUUAUGAAUCUUGACAAAUUGUUUUAAUUGUAACACCAAAAAGCCAGACUCCAGUUUCUUGCAAUGGAAUUUUUAUUUUCAGACAUUGUAGCAUUUGCAUUCGAUACUUGGAGAAUUUUUAAGUCCUGUUCACCUUCUUCAGACAAAGAGUUACCCGUAAUAUAUAGCUCAGUAGUUUCAUCUUCAAUUCUAGAACAGAAUUCCUAAAGCCAUUUACUGGAACAGAAUGGAAAAAUCACACGGUAUACAAAGGGGCAGACAAAAGGAAGGUGCAGACCUUGGUCAGGAUACAUAGGACUACACAGUUGGACUCAGAGAUACCUUUCAGCAUAUUUUCAGAAAAUUGUCAAGGGUGCCCAGAGCAUUGGAUGGGUACUCUUUUAUUGCUUAGUAUAAAGCUAAAUAGUGUACUUUUUAUGCCAGUACUGAGAAAACCGACCAAUUUAAGAGUAAUGUUGGCAUAUGCAGGUAUUUAUGACUCCUUUGCAAGACCAAGUAAGUAAUCCUGUUUUUGUUCAACUAUCUGUUCAGGCAUCUACUUGAACAGGGGGGAGUGGCAUGGUAUAUUUAUAUUUGGUCAAUCUACUAUUGACCAAAUAUAAUAGCAAAUCUAUUAGCAAAUAAUAUACUAAUUCUGCAUGGACACAAACUUAAGAAGGGUGAACUUUAAAACCAAAAGAAAAAAUACACAACAGAUCUCGCUUAUAGAGUAUACCUACUCUGCAUUACAACACAAGCACAGGACUAUUACUGGGGUACAUCUGGGAAUGUCAGCCUAUGAGUAGACAGGUGCAGGUUUUCCUCAGACUGAACGGGGGUUUUGCAAGCAGUCACAUUCGACAUGUCUACACUAGGAAAGGUUGACAACACCUGCACUGCUUACAUUCAUUGCAAAUCAUUAGUUAAAAUGUGGUAACAUUUUAAAAACACAAUCAUUUCUCCCAGACGUGCCUAGUAAAAAAACCCUCAUCUAAGAAAGAACAACUUGCCUCCUUCUCUAGUCAGUAUAGAUCAGCCAGUAGUCAGAAAGCAGCACAAUAAAUCUUGAAAUUAGAAAUUCUACAAAGUGUUAGGGCAGGUCUUCACUACGCGACCAAUCUAUUGGGGAUCGAUUUAUCGCGUCUUGUCUAGACGCGGAUAAAUCGAUUCCCGAAUGUGCUCCCCGUUGACUCCGGAACUCCACCUUGCAAGAGGCGGAAGUGGAGUCGAUGGGGGAGCAGCAGCGGUCAACUCACCGCUGUCCUCACGGCCAAGUAAGUCGACCUAAGAUACGCUGACUUCUGCUACGCUAUUCUGAUGCUGAAGUUGCAUAUCUUAGGUCGACGCCCCCAACCUCCAGGGAAUCAAACCACAGUUGGUUGAACAGAGAAGAUG